rnacentral:rRNA from 1 species
AUUGAACGCUGGCGGCAGGCCUAACACAUGCAAGUCGAGCGGGGUUUUCGGACCUAGCGGCGGACGGGUGAGUAAUGCGUAGGAAGCUGCCCGAUAGAGGGGGAUACCAGUUGGAAACGACUGUUAAUACCGCAUAAUGUCUACGGACCAAAGUGUGGGACCUUCGGGCCGCAUGCUAUCGGAUGCGCCUACGUGGGAUU